rnacentral:rRNA from 1 species
AACGCUGGCGGCGUGCCUAACACAUGCAAGUCGAACGAGAAAGGGUAGCAAUACCUGAGUAAAGUGGCGCACGGGUGAGUAACACGUGACUAACCUACCCUGGAGUGGGGGAUAACUGAGGGAAACCUUAGCUAAUACCGCAUAACACCUACGGGUCAAAGGAGCAAUUCGCUUCAGGAGGGGGUCGCGGCCGAUUAGUUAGUUGGCGGGGUAAUGGCCCACCAAGACAGUGAUCGGUAUCCGGCCUGAGAGGGCGCACGGACACACUGGAACUGAAACACGGUCCAGACUCCUACGGGAGGCAGCAGUGGGGAAUUUUGCGCAAUGGGGGAAACCCUGACGCAGCAACGCCGCGUGGAGGAUGAAGUACUUCGGUACGUAAACUCCUUUCGAUCGGGACGAUUAUGACGGUACCGGAAGAAGAAGCCCCGGCUAACUUCGUGCCAGCAGCCGCGGUAAUACGAGGGGGGCAAGCGUUGUUCGGAAUUAUUGGGCGUAAAGGGUGCGUAGGCGGAUUGGUAAGUCUUGUGUGAAAUCUCCGGGCUCAACUCGGAGUCUGCAUAGGAAACUGCCGGGCUUGAGUAUGGGAGAGGUGAGUGGAAUUUCCGGUGUAGCGGUGAAAUGCGUAGAUAUCGGAAGGAACACCUGUGGCGAAAGCGGCUCACUGGACCAUAACUGACGCUGAUGCACGAAAGCUAGGGGAGCAAACAGGAUUAGAUACCCUGGUAGUCCUAGCCCUAAACGAUGACUGCUUGGUGUGACGGGUACCCAAUCCCGCCGUGCCGUAGCUAACGCGUUAAGCAGUCCGCCUGGGGAGUACGGUCGCAAGGCUGAAACUCAAAGGAAUUGACGGGGGCCCGCACAAGCGGUGGAGCAUGUGGUUUAAUUCGACGCAACGCGAAGAACCUUACCUGGGCUCGAAAUGUUAUGGACCGGGGUAGAAAUAUCCCUUUCCAGCAAUGGACCGUAAUAUAGGUGCUGCAUGGCUGUCGUCAGCUCGUGUCGUGAGAUGUUGGGUUAAGUCCCGCAACGAGCGCAACCCUUAUCCCCAGUUGCCAUCAUUCAGUUGGGCACUCUGGUGAAACCGCCUCGGAUAACGGGGAGGAAGGUGGGGAUGACGUCAAGUCCUCAUGGCCUUUAUGUCCAGGGCUACACACGUGCUACAAUGGCCGGUACAAACCGUCGCAAACCCGUGAGGGGGAGCUAAUCGGAAAAAGCCGGCCUCAGUUCGGAUUAGAGUCUGCAACUCGACUCUAUGAAGCUGGAAUCGCUAGUAAUCGCGGAUCAGAAUGCCGCGGUGAAUACGUUCCCGGGCCUUGUACACACCGCCCGUC